CGACUUUCGAACGCAUAUUGCAGCCAUUGGAUAGCCGAUGGCUUCGUUUGUCUGAGCGUCGUUUUCAAAUUAUGACCAAACAAAAUGGGAUAGAUCUGUUUCGUCGUGUAAACGUCGUCAGGUCAUUUCCAAACAUUUGAUAUGCUGACUUUUGUGGUGAAGAAGGCUUUGUAGCACAUUCACUCACAAGAGGUAUUUAGCGUUUCCAGCUAAACACCUUGAAUGUGUGCCUUGUCUAACCAAAGUGUAGUCGCAAAUCAUUGUCCAAUAAAAGUCUAAUUUCGACCUCAGAUCAAGCGAGAUUACCCCCUGAAUUUAAGC
rnacentral:rRNA from 1 species